CCCUAGUCGCCUCUUCCUCGCCAGAGGCGGUGCCAGCCCUCGGCGCUCCCCGUUGGGUGCUGUGCCGGUGGCGCGGGUGGCCGCCCCCGCCGCGGGGGCCUGAUGGCCGCCCUCCCUGGGCACGACGCGCCCAACCGAGCCCUGCCGGUGGUUGACGGCGCGGCUGCCCCCUUCUGUAAGUAUGUAUGAGUUGAUCCGCGGACGCUUGACGAACCCUAGUCGCCUCUUCCUCACCGGAGGCGGUGCUAGCCCUCGGCGCUCCCCGUUGGGUGCUGUGCCGGUGGCGCGGGUGGCCGCCCCCGCCGCGGGGGCCCUGAUGGCCGCCCUCCCCGGGCACAACGCGCCCAACCGAGCCCUACCGGUGGUUGACGGCGCGGCUGCCCCCUUCCAAAAGGUACAAUACUCGAAUUGAAAUUUGAGCGCAUCAAAAAGCAAUUUAUGAUGCUCCAGAUGAGAGUAUGCUAUUUAGUAGAUGAGAACCAAUUCAACUGUGAUUGCUGGUAACUGAAAGCUGGCCUGCAGAGUGGAUUGGUGACUAUAGUCUGCUAGCUAAACUUAAAAGUGUUACUGUGUGAGAUGAAGGGAAGUAGCUUCCCAAAUUUAUUUGGGUCCUUCAAAAUCCAUUGUUUAUCAGGUGCAUGAUCAUAGCAUGCCUGCUAAAAAAGAUACCAGAACACUCUCAUGUCAAUUUCAAGGUUGGCUCCAAUUCAAUAAGAUAAUAGCCUGAAUACUUUUAGUUUCACUGUUGGACAACUGUAGUUACCUAAGAGUUCCCUAAUUGGUAAGUAGCUAAUUUUUAGAAGUGAUUUAUAGGUAUAGAAUGGCAAGGGCAAUAUAGAUGGAGCCAUUGAAAUUUUCAA